CCUACGGGUGGCAGCAGUAGGGAAUCUUCCACAAUGGGCGAAAGCCUGAUCGAGCAACGCCGCGUGGAUGAAGAAGGUCUUCGGAUCUUAAAACCCUGUUGUUAGAGAAGAAAGUGCGUGAGCGUAACUGUUUAUGUUUCGACCGUAUCUAACCAGAACGGCAAGGCUAAUUACGUGCCCGCAGCUGAGGUAAUACGUAGGUGGCAUGCGUUAUCCGGAUUUAUUUGGGGUAAAGGUAACGCAGGCGGUCUGUUAAGUCUGAUGUGAAAGCCUUCGGCUUAACCGGAGUAGUGCAUUGGAAACUGGGAGACUUGAGUGCAGAAGAGGAGAGUGGAACGCAAUGUGUAGCGGUGAAAUGCGUAGAUAUAUGGAAGAACACCAGUGGCGAAAGCGGCUCUCUGGUCUGUAACUGACGCUGAGGUUCGAAAGCGUGGGGAGCAAACAGGAUUAGAUACCCCGGUAGUC
rnacentral:rRNA from 1 species